rnacentral:rRNA from 1 species
CAGCCGCCGCGGUAAUACGUAGGUGGCAAGCGCUGUCCGGAAUUAUUGGGCGUAAAGGGCUCGCAGGCGGUUUCUUAAGUCUGAUGUGAAAGCCCCCGGCUCAACCGGGGAGGGUCAUUGGAAACUGGUUGACUUGAGUGCAGAAGAGGAGAGUGGAAUUCCAUGUGUAGCGGUGAAAUGCGUAGAUAUAUGGAGGAACACCAGUGGCGAAGGCGACUCUCUGGUCUGUAACUGACGCUGAGGCUCGAAAGCGUGGGUAGCAAACAGGAUUAGAUACCCCUGUAGUCCCUGUCUCUUAUAC